rnacentral:rRNA from 1 species
GACGGACCACCCAAACGUUAUUCGGAAUCACUGGGCUUAAAGGGUGCGUAGGCGGUGUAGUAAGUCGGGUGUGAAAUCCCCCAGCUUAACUGAGGAAUUGCGCCCGAAACUGCUGCGCUCGAGGGAGACAGAGGUGAGCGGAACUGAUGGUGGAGCGGUGAAAUGCGUUGAUAUCAUCAGGAACACCGGUGGCGAAAGCGGCUCACUGGGUCUCUUCUGACGCUGAGGCGCGAAAGGCUAGGGGAGCAAACGGG